AGUAUUAAUAUAUAGAUUAGUACGUGACUGUGUUUAUACGUAGCAAAACUCUCUUUUUAUUAACUAGUACGUACGUACCCAUGUCAAUCUUGACAACCUUAACAAUUUUAAUUGAUAACUAUAAGAAUGAAAUUAGGGUUGUUCAUCCGAGCCGGAUAAAAUCCGGCCCGGAUUCCGGUUUUUGGCCCUGAUUUCAUCCGGGCCGAAACCCGGAUUUGAAAAACCGGAUUAAUCCGGUGCGGGUACCGGAUUUUAAAUCCGGGAUCCGGGUUUAAAACCCGGUACCCGGGUUUUAUAAACUGAAAACAAAUAACCUAAUUGUAGCCGCCGCCCCUCCAGCCCCCGACCCAUUUCAGAUCUCUCUCUCUCUCUCUCUCUCUCUCUCUCUCUCUCUCUCUCUCUCUCUCUCUCUCUCUCUCUCUCUCUCUCUCUCUCUCUCUCUCUCUCUCUCUCUCUCUCUCUCUCUCUCUCUCUCUCUCUCUCAUCCCUUCAAGCACUUUCUUUUUGUUCGGAACCCGACGCGCGAUCAUCUCCUUUUGUCCUCAAUCCCUCAUCUCGCCGGUGACCUUUCGAAAUACAUGGAGGAUUCUGCCUUCCAAGUUUUUUGUGUUUUUUGUAUUUGGGCUUACUGAAAACCAAUACCUCUUGACCCCACGUUUCCCUUCAAGAUGAUGGCUAGUUGGGAAGGUGCUGCAAGUUGUGGAGGCAAUAAAGCUGAGUGGAGGAUGAUUCCUUUGGAAAGGUGCUGCAUAUUCCACUUUUAUGUAAGGCUUUGGUUAGAAACAGUGAAUUUGGUGUGAUUAAAUCACAUGGAAGACUAUGUUAUUUAUAUAUAACUCAUAUCUUGUAAUUUUAUAUUUUGUAAUGUAAUGUAAUAUGUAGUGGAUUGCAUGCA